AGGUGUGCCUCCGUCCGUGAAGACAGAGGACACUGGCCCCGCCCCCUUGUCCCCUGUGUUUCGUACAGGCAGCGAACCCCUGCUCAGCCCACGGCCGCGGCACACACGCCCAGCCCACCCAGGUGGGGGGGUGACCCUACGGGGUUCAGACGGACAGCUACACCCCAAAGCACCUCCUAAACCUCUCCGGGUCUCCACUGUGUUCCCCAACACGAAGCCCCCCCCGCCCUCAGGUCCAGAUGAAGACCCUUCCUGUCUUUACACUGAGCUGGUCAUCCAGGUCCCAGAGUCCCGGAGGAAGGGUCACGUGGACAGAUUACGGGCAGAGGAGAAGUGGCAGAGCCGGGCCCGUCUCACAGAAACUUCCUUUGGCUUCCUGGAGGCCCAGCGACACGAAGCACAGCUGCCGUUUGACACGGAGCUGCAGAGGCAGGCGGCGGGGGACGAGGGGGAGACG